rnacentral:tRNA from 1 species
GGGUAUGGCUCAGUGGUAGAGUGCGUGCUUAGCAUGCACGAGGUCCUGGGUUCAAUCCUCAGAACCUCCA